rnacentral:rRNA from 1 species
AGUGAACGCUGGCGGUAGGCCUAACACAUGCAAGUCGAACGGCAGCACAGUAAGAGCUUGCUCUUACGGGUGGCGAGUGGCGGACGGGUGAGGAAUACAUCGGAAUCUACUUUUUCGUGGGGGAUAACGUAGGGAAACUUACGCUAAUACCGCAUACGACCUACGGGUGAAAGCAGGGGAUCCUCGGACCUUGCGCGAUUGAAUGAGCCGAUGUCGGAUUAGCUAGUUGGCGGGGUAAAGGCCCACCAAGGCGACGAUCCGUAGCUGGUCUGAGAGGAUGAUCAGCCACACUGGAACUGAGACACGGUCCAGACUCCUACGGGAGGCAGCAGUGGGGAAUAUUGGACAAUGGGCGCAAGCCUGAUCCAGCCAUACCGCGUGGGUGAAGAAGGCCUUCGGGUUGUAAAGCCCUUUUGUUGGGAAAGAAAAGCAGCAGGUUAAGACCCCGCUGUUCUGACGGUACCCAAAGAAUAAGCACCGGCUAACUUCGU